AACGAACGCUGGCGGCAGGCUUAACACAUGCAAGUCGAGCGAGGCCUUCGGGUCUAGCGGCGGACGGGUGAGUAACGCGUGGGAACGUGCCCUCUUCUUCGGAAUAGCCCUGGGAAACUGGGAGUAAUGCCGAAUACGCCGAGCCAUAGAGAUAUGGUUUGGGAAAGAUUUAUCGGAGGAGGAUCGGCCCGCGUUGGAUUAGGUAGUUGGUGGGGUAAUGGCCUACCAAGCCGACGAUCCAUAGCUGGUUUGAGAGGAUGACCAGCCACACUGGGACUGAGACACGGCCCAGACUCCUACGGGAGGCAG
rnacentral:rRNA from 1 species